CCUACGGGUGGCAGCAGUGGGGAAUAUUGGACAAUGGGGGGAACCCUGAUCCAGCGACGCCGCGUGAGUGAAGAAGUAUUUCGGUAUGUAAAGCUCUAUCAGCAGGGAAGAAAGAAAUGACGGUACCUGACUAAGAAGCCCGGGCAAACUACGUGCCAGAAGCGUGGGUAAUACGUAGGGGGAAGGCGUUAUCCGGAUUUGCUGGGUGAAAGGGGAGCGUAGACGGCGAUGCAAGUCUGAAGUGAAAGGCGGGGGCCCAACCCCCGGACUGCUUGGGAAACUGUAUGGCUGGAGUGCAGGAGAGGUAAGUGGAAUUCCUAGUGUAGCGGUGAAAUGCGUAGAUAUUAGGAGGAACACCAGUGGCGAAGGCGGCUUACUGGACUGUAACUGACGUUGAGGCUCGAAAGCGUGGGGAGCAAACAGGAUUAGAUACCCCUGUAGUC
rnacentral:rRNA from 1 species